UGGGGAAUUUUGGACAAUGGGCGAAAGCCUGAUCCAGCAAUGCCGCGUGCAGGAUGAAGGCCUUCGGGUUGUAAACUGCUUUUGUACGGAACGAAAAAGCUCCUUCUAAUACAGGGGGCCCAUGACGGUACCGUAAGAAUAAGCACCGGCUAACUACGUGCCAGCAGCCGCGGUAAUACGUAGGGUGCGAGCGUUAAUCGGAAUUACUGGGCGUAAAGCGUGCGCAGGCGGUUAUGUAAGACAGAUGUGAAAUCCCCGGGCUCAACCUGGGAACUGCAUUUGUGACUGCAUGGCUAGAGUACG
rnacentral:rRNA from 1 species